GAGGUCAGGUCCGCCUCAUCAGCUAUGAAGUCUGUGAAUCCUGGGAGAAUCAGGAAGUCGUCGUAGGUGAGGCAGUCGGCGCUGGCAAAGAGCUGCUGCGCGGGGAGCCAGUUAUCGGGCACAUAGUCGGUGCCGCCCCUGAUCAGCCAUGUGAAGACCAUGAUUGCUUUCCCUUCAGCCUUCCACCUUUGUAAGUUUCCUGAGGCCUCCCCAGAAGCAGAAUCCUGCAUAGUCUGCAGAACUGAUUUUAGAAUGCCAAGCUGACAUUUUGAGUUUUUAUGAGAAACCAGAAAAUUUGGUGUGAAGACCCUAAGUGGUGUGUCUGACUUACAGCAGGCCCACAGUACCUGUUAUUGAGUGAGAUAAGCAAAUGGUAUUUCAGGACCAAAACAUCUGUUUCCUGAAGAGUUGCUCCUUUAAUUGUGUAUCUACCUACCUGUCUAUGUAACUCUUGGCAAAUACAUUGGAGACUUCUCAACUUUCUGCUUCUGAUGAUCUCAACUUGUGGUAUGGCAAAAGGAGAGCAAAAUGUUCACCCAGGUAUGGGAAUUUCUCACAAAAAUGUUACUUUAUUAUAUUUAGGGGAAAAAGGGGGCAAAAUCUACACUCAUAAUACCUGAGACUGGAUUUCUAGAACCUUUUGGUUUCAGAUUUAUGAUGAAUUAGAAAACUUCCUGAUUAGAAAAAUGUUAUAGUUUCAAAUAUUAGCUAAAAUUUUUAUCUGUAAGUACAAUAAACAUGACAAAUAAUGAUCAGUGUUUUCACUCCUAUUAAGGAGAGUAUUUUUAGUAAUAAAAAUAAGCCUUAAUGUGAAAAAGCUAAGAAUUCAUGAUUGCUUCUAAUGACAAGUAUCUGGGAGGGGUCUGAGUUUGGUUCAAGAGAGGAACUACAGCUGUUGGUGACUACAACCAUCUGCCCAGAUGACAUCGUGAUCAACUCCUCUGAAUCACUCUAAAGGAACGAGAAGUCCUGGCAGCUGAGUCAUGAUCCCCCAGGAGCCAUUAAGAAGUUAAUCUUCAGUCACUUCCAUCCAAACAGAAGAAAACCCAUGAAGGAUGAGAACUAUGGGUCCUGAGAAUGACAGGUAUUGAAGACAGGAUUUAUCUUCUCUACUUCUUCUUUUAGAAGCAGAUCAAGAAACUGGCGAUUGAAGAGUAACUGAAAGAAACGCAAUCUGAUCUUACUAGCAGUGAAAGAGCGAGUCUCCCUCUGAUGCCGAGCAGAAGCUAGACUGUACUGCUGCCAUCUCAGCUCACUGCAACCUCCCUGCCUGAUUCUCCUGCCUCAGCCUGCUGAGUGCCUGCAAUUGCAGGCGCGCCGCCACGCCUGACUGGUUUUCGUAUUUUUUUGGUGGAGACGGGGAUUCGCUGUGUUGGCCGGGCUGGUCUCCAGCUCCUAACCGCGAGUGAUCCACCAGCCUCGGCCUCCUGAGGUGCCGGGAUUGCAGACGGAGUCUGGUUCACUCAGUGCUCAAUGGCGCCCAGACUGGAGUGCAGUGGCGUGAUCUCAGCUCGCUACAACCUCCACCUCCCAGCCGCCUCCCUUGGCCUCCCAAAGUGCAGAGAUUGCAGCCUCUGCCCGGCCGCCACCCCGCCUGGGAAGUGAGGAGCGUCUCUGCCUGGCCGCCCAUUGUCUGGGAUGUGAGGAGCCCCUCUGCCUGGCUGCCCAGUCUGGAAAGUGAGGAGUGUCUCUGCCUGGCCGCCAUCCCAUCUAGGAAGUGAGGAGCGCCUCUUCCCGGCCGCCAUCCCAUCUAGGAAGUGAGGAGCCUCUCUGCCCAGCCGCCCAUCGUCUGAGAUGUGGGGAGCGCCUCUGCCCCGCCGCCCCGUCUGGGAUGUGAGGAGCGCCUCUACCCCGCCGCGACCCCGUCUGGGAGGUGAGGAGCGUCUCUGCCCGGCGGCCCCGUCUGGGAAGUGAGGAGACCCUCCGCCCGGCAGCCGCCCCAUCUGAGAAGUGAGGAGCCCCUCUGCCCAGCAGCCACCCUGUCUGGGAAGUGAGGAGCGUCUCUGCCCAGCAGCCACCCCGUCUGGGAGGGAGGUGGGGGGUCAGCCCCCCGCCCGGCCAGCCGCCCCGUCCGGGAGGUGAGGGGCGCCUCUGCCCGGCGGCCCCUACUGGGAAGUGAGGAGCCCCUCUGCCCGGCCAGCCGCCCCGUCUGGGAAGUGAGGAGCGUCUCCGCCCAGCAGCCACCCCGUCCGGGAGGGAGGUGGGGGGAUCAGCCCCCCGCCCGGCCAGCCGCCCAGUCCGGGAGGGAGGUGGGGGGGUCAGCCCCCCGCCCGGCCAGCCGCCCCGUCCGGGAGGUGAGGGGUGCCUCUGCCCGGCCGCCCCUACUGGGAAGUGAGGAGCCCCUCUGCCCGGCCAGCCGCCCGGUCCGGGAGGGAGGUGGGGGGGUCAGCCCCCUGCCUGGCAAGCCGCCCCGUCUGGGAGGGAGGUGGGGGGAUCAGCCCCCCGCCGGGCCAGCCACCCCGUCCGGGAGGUGAGGGGUGCCUCUGCCCGGCCGCCCCUACUGGGAAGUGAGGAGCCCCUCUGCCCGGCCAGCCGCCCCAUCCGGGAGUGAGGUGGGGGGGUCAGCCCCCUGCCCGGCCAGCCGCCCCGUCCGGGAGGUGAGGGGCGCCUCUGCCCGGCCGCCCCUACUGGGAAGUGAGGAGCCCCUCUGCCCGGCCACCACCCCGUCUGGGAGGUGUACCCAACAGCUCAUUGAGAACGGGCCAUGAUGACAAUGGCGGUUUUGUGGAAUAGAAAGCGGGGAAAGGUGGGGAAAAGAUUGAGAAAUCGGAUGGUUGCCGUGUCUGUGUAGAAAGAGGUAGACAUGGGAGACUUUUCAUUUUGUUCUGUACUAAGAAAAAUUCUUAUCCUGUUGAUCUGUGACCUUACCCCCAACCCCGUGCUCUCUGAAACAUGUGCUGUGUCCACUCAGGGCUAAAUGGAUUAAGGGCGGUGCAAGAUGUGCUUUGUUAAACAGAUGCUUGAAGGCAGCAUGCUCGUUGAGAGUCAUCACCACUCCCUAAUCUCAAGUAACCAGGGACACAAACACUGUGGAAGGCCGCAGGGUCCUCUGCCUAGGAAAACCAGAGACCUUUGUUCACUUGUUUAUCUGCUGACCUUCCCUCCACUAUUGUCCUAUGACCCUGCCAAAUCCCCCUCUGCGAGAAACACCCAAGAAUGAUCAAUAAAAAAAUAAAAUAAAAUAAAAUAAAAUAAAAUAAAUAAAGUUUCAUGCGCAUCCGUGUGAAGAGACCACCAAACAGGCUUUGUGUGAGCAGCAUGGCUGUUUAUUUCACCUGGGUGCAGGCGGGCUGAGUCCGAAAAGAGAGUCAGCCAAGGGAGAUAAGGGUGGGGCUGUUUUAUAGGAUUUGGGUAGGUAAAGGAAAAUUACAGUCAAAGGGGGUUUGUUCUCUGGCGGGCAGGAGUGGGGGCCGCAAGGUGCUCAGUGGGGGUGCUUUGAGCCAGGAUGAGCCAGGAAAAGGAGUUUCACAAGGUAAUGUCAUCAGUUAAGGCAAGGACCGGCCAUUUACACUUCUUUUGUGGUGGAAUGUCAUCAUUAAGGUGGUGCAGGGCAUAUUCACUUCUUUUGUGAUUCUUCAGUUACUUCAGGCCAUCUGGGCAUAUACGUGCAGGUCACAG
rnacentral:lncRNA from 1 species